UACAGAGGGUGCGAGCGUUGUCCGGAAUCACUGGGCGUAAAGGGCGCGUAGGCGGCCUGGCAAGUCUGUGGUGAAAGCUCGUGGCUCAACUGCGAGUCGGCCAUAGAUACUGCGAGGCUCGAGUCGACUAGAGGCAGAUGGAAUUCCGGGUGUAGCGGUGGAAUGCGUAGAGAUCCGGAAGAACACCGGUGGCGAAGGCGGUCUGCUGGGGUCGAACUGACGCUGAUGCGCGAAAGCGUGGGGAGCAAACAGG
rnacentral:rRNA from 1 species